GGCCAAGACACAGUGAUGCUGAAGGAGCAGGGCUGGGCACGAUCAGCAGCAGCAGCAACGCUGUUCAUAAUCCUCCCCAUAUCGGAUGCUGAUUAUCCGUAGAGCCCCUGCAGGAUGCAUUAAGGGUCAAAGGUGAGCUAGUGAGGCCGAGAUGAGUCUGACUUCCUGGUUCCUGGUUAGCAGCGGGGGGACGCGUCAUCGUCUCCCCAGGGAGAUGAUCUUUGUUGGGAGGGAUGACUGUGAGCUCAUGCUGCAGUCCCGCAAUGUGGACAAGCAGCAUGCUGUCAUCAACUAUGAGCCAAAUACAGAUGAACAUAAAGUGAAGGACCUGGGCAGCUUGAAUGGGACAUUUGUCAAUGAUGUCAGAAUACAGGAGCAAAUCUACGUCACACUGAAAAUUGAUGAUAAAUUGAGGUUUGGCUACGAUACCAACCUGUUCACUGUGGUUCGAGGAGAGAUGCAUAUUCCAGAGGAGGCCCUAAAGCAUGAGAAGUUCAGUAUCCAGCUGCAGCUGAACCAGAAGAAACCUCCAGUGGUGGAAUCGGCGAAAUCUGAGGCGAUACCCUCCGAGGCAGCAGCGGCAGCACCAGCAUGUGAAGGGACCGCCGCCAAACCCCCCGAGGCCAGCAGGGUGGAGGAAAAGACAACAAGGGAUGGAGCAGUGUCGCACAGAAUCACGCCCCUCUAUGGCCAGCCGGCCUGGUGGGGAGACGAUGACCAGCAAUCCAGGAGGCCUGAGGAGAAGAGCUCAGAUCGGAAGCGAGAAAAAGCUGAAACAGACAGCAAAAAAAGUACAGAGGUCCCAAAGUCUGCCCCGCAAACAGCUUCCAAUCAGGAGCCUAGCUACUUUGAGAUCCCAACCAAGGAUACUUCCUCAGCAGGUAAAGUGAGUGGUGAAGGCCCUUCACGAGAACAAGAGGCUGCUGCUUCUUCUGCUGCAGAGCCUAUCCACAGCCACACCUCAUUCACCAUUGAGUUUGACCCUGGGGCGUCAGGUAAAGUGACCGUCAAAGAUCGAGUGGCGAAGGUGGGACCGGAGACCAGGCCGCAUCCUAAAAGAGCUGUUGGGGAGGAGCUGAGUCCACUUCAGACAGCCAUGGUAGCUGCGGAGGUUAAAGUUGCCGACUGGCUGGCCCAGAAUGAGCUCCCGUUGGCCCUGAAAGACACGGUUGCAGAGGAUGAUGGGGAAAGUGUAAAGAGUGAUGUGCCUGUACAACUGAAGAGUCUCAAAGGCAGUAAACAUGAGGACGGUACUCAGAGUGACUCAGAGAACGCACUUGGCGAGCAGCGCAGGGCUGCAGCAAUGGAGGAACGCUCGUGGGGGCUGUGGGGCGGUGCUGGGAUGAAGAUCAGAGAGGGUCGCGCUAACGUACCAGAGGGGCUCUUCGCAGAGGAGGACAGUCCUGCUCGCCGUCGCAAGACUUCGACUUCCAAAAUGGCAGGUGGAUUCGUGGAGAGGCGACGGGGCUCGGCACCACAUCAGCAAAGUGGGCGUGAUGAGUGCUAUCACCAUGGGGAUGAUUAUAGUGACAGAGGAACCUAUACUAUUGAGCUGGAGAAUGGAGAUCAUGAGGAGGAAGAGGCUAGGAAAAUGAUCGACAAGGUUACAGUGUUUGGUGUGGAUGAGCUGGAGGGUGUGUGUGUGUCCAGGUUGGGUGGUGCUGACCAAAAAGAAAGGCUCAGCUCCCAGAGGUCUGGUACCGGAGACAGAGGAAAGCCUGGACGCAUGGAGACAGAGGUACUAUCUGAGGAAUUGAUGGUGGGCGGUCCUCGCUGGGUUUCGCAGUGGGCCACUCUGGCUGCCAGUCACAUUAGGACAGACCCUGAGGGAUCAGGAGGAGAGAGUCACAUCAUGGUCACAGAGGACAGAGCUGAAAUAAGUGAGUCCAGCUACUCAGCCUCCUUUGCCUCGUCUAGCUACACGGAGCAAAAGAGGAGAACCCUGCCACAGCUGCCAGGUGAGGAGCUCACCCUAGGAAGGAGGACCCCAGGCGCAGGCUUGCGUAAAGAUUUGGGGGAGAAACAGGACACAGAGCUACAGGAGAAGGAGAGCCAGGGGGAGAAGACGUCCAGGGGAAAGAAUCGGCCCGGUCAUGGCGUUGGAGGUGCGGGCAGUCACGGUGGUAGCCCCAGUCGCUCCUCACCAGCCAAGUCACAGGACAGUGCUGGAGGGAGAUCAUGCCAGUCAGGUGUGUUGACCAAGCUCCCCCCUCGUCCACUGACCAGCGGGGAGAAACGACUGGAGGAGGCACGGAGGAGGAAAAAGGAAGAGGAGAAGGCUAGGGAAAGUAGCGGGAAACCAUUGUUGAGGCAGGAGAGUUUUACUGUGGAGAAACCAAGCUCCAACAUGCCCAUUGAGCUCAGACCUUGUAUCGAUGGGCUCAAAAGCAGCAGAUCUCAGAGUAGGGAGGCUGGCAUUGACAGCACCACACUGCAGAAAGACUCGGAAGCUGUGGCAGCCUUUUUAGAGACGACUGUGUCAGACCAAGGUGAUCCACCAAGUCAGUCCAUUGAAGGCUCCAUGUCACCAGAGUCAGACGUGGACACGACCAGCACAGUAAGCCAGGCUGACGGAGCCAGAAAAGUAAUCCAAAAACGGCGGACUCUUGCAGGACAGCAGAAGGAGAGAACGGUAGUGUGCUCAUCCAGCAAAGGCCCCACUGGGGGCAGAGAGACCCAGGACAGGAGGGUCAAGACCAGGGCAUCUGGUCCUCCGCAGCCCAACCGCCCCUGGACUUCCCUAGACCUCACUGAUGAUGACGUCAACUCCAACUCACUCCUCUCUGACUCACAGCCCACCUCUACAUCAAGAAAGGAAUCUAGAAGCUCACAUACCAGAGCCCAGACUGGGAGCACAACAGUGGGGGCUGGCACCAAGUCUAGUCGGGCUAAAAUCAACCAGGCCCCAGCCUCAUCUGCAGCCAGUAAAACCACUAAUGUUCCCAAGCCCAGGCCCACCAGGGCGUCCCUGCUGAGGCGAGCCCGCCUUGGGGACUCCUCAGACACUGAACCUGCUGAUCUUGACCGGAUGUCGGUAGCUUCUGAGGCCUCCACCGCAAGUUCCACAUCCAGGACAGGGAUGGCAAGAAGGGGAAUGUCCAGGAUAGAGGCUCUGGCACAGCCGAGGAAGCCGAGGGUGGGCUCUCCGUCCGCCCAGAGUGACUCAGAGGCCACUGUGACAAGGAGUAGAGGUCUAGGGGCCCGGAGCGCUGCAGGUGAUUAUGCCAUAAGACAAGGACUAAGAGGGACUAAUAUGACCUCAGUGUCUGGACCCAGAGCUCGGGCUAACAGCGUCUCCAAGCUGCCUGACAAGAAUAAAGGCACCUCCUCAUAUGGACAUAUAACACCUGCGUCUGGCACUCGGUGGCGCCGCAUGCCUGUGGAGUAUGCCUCCACCUCAGAGGACGAGUAUGGCUCAAACCGCCACAUAUCCAAGCAGGGCCAGUCACGGCCGUUCCCUUCCACUCGGGUAGGCCAGCUAGGAGGGUCAGCCCCAGCAACUCCUAAUCCUGCAGGCCUAUCUGCCCUGAGGCAGCACUCCAGGGAACAGGACGAGUAUAUGAGAGACUGGACAGCACACAGCGAGGAAAUAGCUAGAAUUAGCCAGGACCUAGCCAAAGACCUAGCCAUGCUCGCCAGAGAAAUACAUGAUGUGGCAGGAGAGAUAGACUCAGUCAGCCCUGCAGCCACUGACCCUGGAGCUCUGAUGGAGGAGCGUGUAUUUGAUGACAGCUUGGACCCGAGUGGUCCUUCUGCAGAGCACAGCAGUAUUCUGGGAACCAAUGUGCGGUCUGUGGAGCUUCGACCCCAAAGCUCUAGUGGACAGAGCUCUCGCUCCAUCCGCCGACAGACGUGGAAUAGAGAUGAUGCGGUGCUAGACAGUUUACUACUAGCAUCUGUCACUCAGCUCUCAACGAGGAUACGUCAGUCUGUUGACAAAACAACCUGCAAAAUCAGGAUCCUCUUCAAGGAUAAAGAACGAAAAUGGGAAGAGAUUGAGAACAAACUGCAGGCAGAGCGCGACUCCUUGCUACUCAAGUGCUCCAAUAAGGAAAUUUCAACCAUUAUUCAAGACCUGAGGAGAGUGGAAAGACAACUGCUCGUAAUCGACAUGAUGGUGGACCCAGAUGGCACCCUGGAUGCCCUGUCCAACCUGGGCCUAACCAGCCCUCUGACUGACCAGAGGAUCGGCCCUGGGACUCAGCAGGGGGCGUCGGUGUUGCACCCUGGAGAUGAAGCUUCCUCCAGCACACUCUCGAGGCCUGAAGGACGGGACACUGAAUCAUGCGGACCUUCAGGCCAUGCAGAGGUGGCAGAGCAAGACCCAGGGCCCCGACAGAGCCCGAGAUCCUACAACUGAUACACCAAGUACAUCAUUCGGAAUGCAUCCUUUAUGUUGGACAUAUCCUGAAAGUGUGAGCACGUGAUGUGCCCCUGCGGCACUCCUUUAUCAUGUCGAUGUCCUCGAUCAAAAACAAAAGCAAGGUGAAAGCCAGCUGCCUGCAGAUGAACAGUUUGUCAAAUUAUAUUCUGAUCACAAACAAAAUGUUGUGUUUGAAUCAGCAUAGACAGGGGGCUACCUCCAAGUCCUGCAGCUGCAUUUUAUUGUUAAUGAUGCAAUGAGAAGAAUGCACAGUGUAAUGACUGUAGGUUUUCCAAUGUCUUGCCUCAUACCAAUGUUUACACAUGAAUGUAACCUGAUCAGAACUGUUGAAAACAUUUUAGCCAAAACAACUUGAAUAAAGACUGAUAAUUGCAUUUUGUGCUCAGCACUUUCUGUACUUUGUCUUUGUUUGAGCAUUUAGAGAUUUUGUUUGGAUGUUUUGUAUACCGUUUUUUCUUUGUAAUGAUGUUUGGUUAAAUGUUGACUUUGCAAUACCUGUGUAUUGUUGGUCUCAUUUCCAAUAAAAUGCAUGAUAAUCAUGA